UACAGCCAUAUCACGUUGACACACCGGUUCCAGUACGAUAACCGUAGUUAAGCAACGUCAAGCCUGAUCAGCACCUAGAUGGUUGAACGCUUGAGAAUACCAGGUGUUGUAG